rnacentral:lncRNA from 1 species
CCAGGUUCCCCCUUGGCUCCAGUUAGACCCUGGGGAAGAAAGAGAUGGUAGAUCAGUGAAGGGCAAACCUGCUCCCUGAACCCUGGGACAAGCCAGGGCCUGAGGUCUCUCCUGGGUGGGCCCAAGCUGCCUUUCACUCCACUCCAUGAAGGCCAAGGGGCCUCAACACCUUGUUUUCUCUUCCCCAGUUCCCACAGCAACCCUGGGAGGCACGCAGGCAGAACGAUUACCCUCUUUUGAAAGAUGAGAAACCAUGGCCCAAGGAUUUGUCUGCACAGGACUCACACCUCCCAGUUUAGGAGCCUGGUAGACCUAGCGGGUGUUGAAAAUUUGGAGAGGCCCUGGUGGUUGCUCAUAGCCCCGAUGACACUUCUUGAGCCAGCAGGACAAAGGCAACUCAUGAGACCUCUUUUUCCUCCCCUUUUAGUGAUUGACCCAAGUGUAUUCCUCAAUCAGACAACUGUCCCAAUGGUCCUGGCUGUGUCCAGAAUCCCAUGACCUUGGGCCCCUGGGAAUUCUGUGGUAUCAGCCAAUAAUCCUCCUCUCCUGAGUUACUCCUGGGGCUGUGAGGGGGUGGGUAUGGCAGGGAAGGGGGAAGGAAAGGACCGCUCCAUCCACAGCAUGCAGUCUGCUAUUUGGAGGCCAGAAAUGUGAGACUAAAUCCUGGCUGCAGCCGAUGAACAGAACCCUCUUUGGCCCCCCAUGUGCCCGUGAUUCAUGCUUCUGGGGUGGCCGGGAGGUCACAAGUCAUAGGAAGGUGAAGGGAACUCAUAGCUAUACAGUCUCCAUCCUGCUGCCCUGCUCUGAACAGAAGAGAGGGGAAGAUGGCAGAACUGGGCUCUGGAAGUCAGUGAGUUGAGCCCUAACUGCUUUAGCAGACACUCGGGUACUCACGUCAAUCCCAGGCUUCCCGUCUGGCCCAUCCGGCCCUGCUUUGCCAGGCUCUCCCUUAGGUCCCUUAAACACAGAGGUGGGGCAGAUAUUAGUCAGAGGAGGGCAAGAACUGGAAAGGUCAAAGGUCAAAGAGGAAAAGUACUCACCGGAGGGCCAGCUUUCCCGGGGGGCCCCUUGUCACCCUGCAAGAUACAAGUUGGUCAGAUAGCACCCCGUGGCUCAAGCUAACCCAAAUGGGCACAUGCAGGCCCUGGCUGGCUGGCCCCACAGGCCACUUUCCUCACUCUCUUCUCUUCCGCCCUGGGUCCCCUCAGCCUUGCGUUGUUUGUUUGUUUUGAAAGUAGCUCCUUUUCCCUCAAAACAAAAC